rnacentral:rRNA from 1 species
CAUGCAAGUCGAACGGAACUAUUUUGGAAACUCCUUCGGGAGCGGAAUCUUUAGUUUAGUGGCGGACGGGUGAGUAACGCGUGAGCAAUCUGCCUUUAAGAGGGGGAUAACAGUCGGAAACGGCUGCUAAUACCGCAUAAAGCAUUAAAUUCGCAUGUUUUUGAUGCCAAAGGAGCAAUCCGCUUUUAGAUGAGCUCGCGUCUGAUUAGCUAGUUGGCGGGGUAACGGCCCACCAAGGCGACGAUCAGUAGCCGGACUGAGAGGUUGAACGGCCACAUUGGGACUGAGACACGGCCCAGACUCCUACGGGAGGCAGCAGUGGGGAAUAUUGCGCAAUGGGGGAAACCCUGACGCAGCAACGCCGCGUGAUUGAAGAAGGCCUUCGGGUUGUAAAGAUCUUUAAUCAGGGACGAAAUAAAUGACGGUACCUGAAGAAUAAGCUCCGGCUAACUACGUGCCAGCAGCCGCGGUAAUACGUAGGGAGCAAGCGUUAUCCGGAUUUACUGGGUGUAAAGGGCGCGCAGGCGGGCCGGUAAGUUGGAAGUGAAAUCUAUGGGCUUAACCCAUAAACUGCUUUCAAA